rnacentral:lncRNA from 10 species
GGAUAUGCUGGAGUAUCAUGCAUUCAGAUGGGUAAAGAAAGCAGGAAACUGUGACUAAAUGAAGAUCACAGAGCCAGUUGAUCAGUGGGGAAGCUGCAUCUGAAAUCCAGGACUUCUAGAUCCUGGGUCAACUGGAGGGGUCAUGCAUUCUGGAAAAUAAUGCAGAGUGGUACAGGCUGAAGCGGAGCGGAGAGGACACUGUUUCAAGAUUCCUGCGCCAGCUCCUUCGUUGUUAUAGAAGUUGGACUAAAUAAAAGGGUAAUCACAAGCGUACAGAUAACAGGCAGGCAGGAAUGUGAAAAUCAGAGAGAAGAGAGAUGUGCACCAGAAGCUGGAGUAAUGUGCUUUGAAGAUGGAGGAAGGGACCAUAAAUCAAGGAAUGCAGACAGCCUGUAGAAGCUGGGAAAGGCAAGGAUGUGGAUUCACUCGAGUCUCUAGAAGAAACGCAACCCCGCCAACACCUUGAUUUGAGGACGUCUGACCUUCAGAAUGAGAAAAUGAUACAUUUGUGUUGUAAGCCACCCAGUUUGUGAAAUAUGUAUCAACAAUUGAAAACUAGUACAUAGUCAAAUACUCAAUCUCUGUUUUUUUUAGCUUAUCAUUUUCAAUCUCUGUCUCCAACCCACAAACCACAUGCAUCAUAAAUAAAUUAAAAUACCAAAA